GGUGGCCUAUUUGCUAAACCCUCUGCUCUUUAAUGUGCGCAAGAUUUGAAUUUGAGAAGUAGAUGAGUAUGCAGCUGAUUACCGUUUGAAACAGUUCCCUCCUAUUCUAUGCUUCUCUUUCUCUCCUGAAACCUUUUCUUUCCAAAAGAAACACUUUCUUUGAGCAAACCCACAUCACCAUUAUCAUAAAAAUGGAAAUUUAUCAGCCGUGUGAUCUGGAUUCACNNNAAGAAGAUGGUUAAAGACCCAGUUGCAGAAUCGGCAGCAUUUCCUCAACGCCGUGUAGAAGUCGG
rnacentral:misc_RNA from 1 species